rnacentral:rRNA from 1 species
CACUAUCGUUAACUGAAUACAUAGGUUAACGAGGCGAACCGGGGGAACUGAAACAUCUAAGUACCCCGAGGAAAAGAAAUCAACCGAGAUUCCCCCAGUAGCGGCGAGCGAACGGGGAGCAGCCCAGAGUCUGAAUCAGCUUGUGUGUUAGUGGAACGGUCUGGAAAGUCCGACGGUACAGGGUGAUAGUCCCGUACACCAAAAUGCACAGGUUGUGAACUCGAAGAGUAGGGCGGGACACGUGGUAUCCUGUCUGAAUAUGGGGGGACCAUCCUCCAAGGCUAAAUACUCCUGACUGACCGAUAGUGAACCAGUACCGUGAGGGAAAGGCGAAAAGAACCCCGGCGAGGGGAGUGAAAAAGAACCUGAAACCGUGUACGUACAAGCAGUGGGAGCACCUUCGGGUGUGACUGCGUACCUUUUGUAUAAUGGGUCAGCGACUUAUAUUCUGUAGCAAGGUUAACCGUAUAGGGGAGCCGCAGGGAAACCGAGUCUUAACUGGGCGUUAAGUUGCAGGGUAUAGACCCGAAACCCGGUGAUCUAGCCAUGGGCAGGUUGAAGGUUGGGUAACACUAACUGGAGGACCGAACCGACUAAUGUUGAAAAAUUAGCGGAUGACUUGUGGCUGGGGGUGAAAGGCCAAUCAAACCGGGAGAUAGCUGGUUCUCCCCGAAAGCUAUUUAGGUAGCGCCUCGUGAACUCAUCUUCGGGGGUAGAGCACUGUUUCGGCUAGGGGGUCAUCCCGACUUACCAACCCGAUGCAAACUACGAAUACCGAAGAAUGUUAUCACGGGAGACACACGGCGGGUGCUAACGUCCGUCGUGAAGAGGGAAACAACCCAGACCGCCAGCUAAGGUCCCAAAGUCAUGGUUAAGUGGGAAACGAUGUGGGAAGGCACAGACAGCCAGGAUGUUGGCUUAGAAGCAGCCAUCAUUUAAAGAAAGCGUAAUAGCUCACUGGUCGAGUCGGCCUGCGCGGAAGAUGUAACGGGGCUAAACCAUGCACCGAAGCUGCGGCAGCGACACUAUGUGUUGUUGGGUAGGGGAGCGUUCUGUAAGCCUGCGAAGGUGUGCUGUGAGGCAUGCUGGAGGUAUCAGAAGUGCGAAUGCUGACAUAAGUAACGAUAAAGCGGGUGAAAAGCCCGCUCGCCGGAAGACCAAGGGUUCCUGUCCAACGUUAAUCGGGGCAGGGUGAGUCGACCCCUAAGGCGAGGCCGAAAGGCGUAGUCGAUGGGAAACAGGUUAAUAUUCCUGUACUUGGUGUUACUGCGAAGGGGGGACGGAGAAGGCUAUGUUAGCCGGGCGACGGUUGUCCCGGUUUAAGCAUGUAGGCUGGUUAUCCAGGCAAAUCCGGAUAAUCAAGGCUGAGGUGUGAUGACGAGGCACUACGGUGCUGAAGUAACAAAUGCCCUGCUUCCAGGAAAAGCCUCUAAGCAUCAGGUAACAUCAAAUCGUACCCCAAACCGACACAGGUGGUCAGGUAGAGAAUACCAAGGCGCUUGAGAGAACUCGGGUGAAGGAACUAGGCAAAAUGGUGCCGUAACUUCGGGAGAAGGCACGCUGGUGUGUAGGUGAAGUCCCUGCGGAUGGAGCUGAGACCAGUCGAAGAUACCAGCUGGCUGCAACUGUUUAUUAAAAACACAGCACUGUGCAAACACGAAAGUGGACGUAUACGGUGUGACGCCUGCCCGGUGCCGGAAGGUUAAUUGAUGGGGUUAUCCGUAAGGAGAAGCUCUUGAUCGAAGCCCCGGUAAACGGCGGCCGUAACUAUAACGGUCCUAAGGUAGCGAAAUUCCUUGUCGGGUAAGUUCCGACCUGCACGAAUGGCGUAAUGAUGGCCAGGCUGUCUCCACCCGAGACUCAGUGAAAUUGAACUCGCUGUGAAGAUGCAGUGUACCCGCGGCAAGACGGAAAGACCCCGUGAACCUUUACUAUAGCUUGACACUGAACAUUGAGCCUUGAUGUGUAGGAUAGGUGGGAGGCUUUGAAGCGUGGACGCCAGUCUGCGUGGAGCCAACCUUGAAAUACCACCCUUUAAUGUUUGAUGUUCUAACGUUGGCCCCUGACCGGGGUUGCGGACAGUGUCUGGUGGGUAGUUUGACUGGGGCGGUCUCCUCCCAAAGCGUAACGGAGGAGCACGAAGGUUAGCUAAUCCUGGUCGGACAUCAGGAGGUUAGUGCAAUGGCAUAAGCUAGCUUGACUGCGAGCGUGACGGCGCGAGCAGGUGCGAAAGCAGGUCAUAGUGAUCCGGUGGUUCUGAAUGGAAGGGCCAUCGCUCAACGGAUAAAAGGUACUCCGGGGAUAACAGGCUGAUACCGCCCAAGAGUUCAUAUCGACGGCGGUGUUUGGCACCUCGAUGUCGGCUCAUCACAUCCUGGGGCUGAAGUAGGUCCCAAGGGUAUGGCUGUUCGCCAUUUAAAGUGGUACGCGAGCUGGGUUUAGAACGUCGUGAGACAGUUCGGUCCCUAUCUGCCGUGGGCGCUGGAGAAUUGAGGGGGGCUGCUCCUAGUACGAGAGGACCGGAGUGGACGCAUCACUGGUGUUCGGGUUGUCAUGCCAAUGGCACUGCCCGGUAGCUAAAUGCGGAAGAGAUAAGUGCUGAAAGCAUCUAAGCACGAAACUUGCCCCGAGAUGAGUUCUCCCUGAGACUUUAAGUCUCCUGAAGGAACGUUGAAGACGACGACGUUGAUAGGCCGGGUGUGUAAGCGCAGCGAUGCGUUGAGCUAACCGGUACUAAUGAACCGUGAGGCUUAACCUU